CAGUAGCCGCGGGAACACGUAGGGUGCAAGCGUUAAUCGGAAUUACUGGGCGUAAAGCGUGCGCAGGCGGUUUGUUAAGACAGAUGUGAAAUCCCCGGGCUCAACCUGGGAACUGCAUUUGUGACUGGCAAGCUAGAGUGUGGCAGAGGGGGGUGGAAUUCCGCGUGUAGCAGUGAAAUGCGUAGAUAUGCGGAGGAACACCGAUGGCGAAGGCAGCCCCCUGGGCCAACACUGACGCUCAUGCACGAAAGCGUGGGGAGCAAACAGGAUUAGAUACCCCUGUAGUCCCUGUCUCUUAUAC
rnacentral:rRNA from 1 species